rnacentral:rRNA from 1 species
GAGUGGCGGACGGGUGAGUAAUGCUUAGGAAUCUGCCCAGUAGUGGGGGACAACUCGGGGAAACUCGAGCUAAUACCGCAUACGCCCCAAGGGGGAAAGUGGAGGAUCUUCGGACUUCACGCUAUUGGAUGAGCCUAAGUCGGAUUAGCUUGUUGGUGAGGUAAAAGCUCACCAAGGCGACGAUCCGUAGCUGGUCUGAGAGGACGAUCAGCCACACUGGGACUGAGACACGGCCCAGACUCCUACGGGAGGCAGCAGUGGGGAAUAUUGGACAAUGGGGGCAACCCUGAUCCAGCAAUGCCGCGUGUGUGAAGAAGGCCUGCGGGUUGUAAAGCACUUUCUGUAGAUAAGAAAAGCUUACGGUUAAUACCCGUGAUUCUUGACGUAACCUACAGAAGAAGCACCGGCUAACUCCGUGCCAGCAGCCGCGGUAAUACUGAGGGUGCAAGCGUUAAUCGGAAUUACUGGGCGUAAAGCGCGCGUAGGCGGUUUCG